rnacentral:rRNA from 1 species
GACGAACGCUGGCGGCGUGCCUAAUACAUGCAAGUCGAACGCAGUGGGGACGGGUGAGUAACACGUGGGUAACCUCCCAUCAGAGGGGAUAACACUUGGAAACAGGUGCUAAACCGAUACUGAUGGAUGGACCCGCGGUGCAUUAGCUAGUUGGUGAGGUAACGGCUCACCAAGGCCACGAUGCAUAGCGUACCUGAGAGGUUGAGCGGCAACACUGGUAAUGCAACACGGCCCAGACGCCGACGGGAGGCAGCAGUAGGGAAUCUACGGAAAUGGACGGAAGUCUGACCGAGCAACGCCGCGUGAGGGAAGAAGUUUUUCGGAUCGUAAAGCUCUGUUGUAAGAGAAGCGGUAACUAACCAGAAAGGGACGGCUAACUACGUGCCAGCAGCCGCGGUAAUAC